UGAUCUGAAAAAUACUAGGAUAAUAAGUGGCGCUAAUGCACCAUAAGAAGAAGAAGAAGAAGAAGAAGAAGAAGAAGACCACCGCAUUCUGUUUGACAGCGUCGCCGGGAAGUGCAGGUGGCACAAAAGUUCCCGCAACAAUUUGAAAAUAGGAUAAAACAAAGGAUACCAGAAGCAUCCAGUUAUUGUUUCGUGAUUCAGAAAGUGUUUAAUAUCUGGAGCAGGGUCACUGAUACUCGCACUACGAGACUAAACACUGCAAGUAGCAACAGUGCUGUCAUUGCCAAGUGUGACAGCCAGACAUGUUGGAUUGAACAGUAUUUUCAGAAAAGGUUUGCAGUAUCAGGAGAUACCAGCAGCGGAAAUUACUCCAUAAGUAUCAGUUCAGUCGUCUACACUGAUGCCGGUUCCUACAGGUGCAGCUGUGAUGGACAUUCAGUUACUGAAGAAAAGCUUCAGGUGUAUGUUCCAACAGUCAUAAAGACAUUUGAGGGGGAGAACGUCACCCUCCCCUGCUAUGGAGACACUCGGGUUGAUGCCAUGAAUGUACAGUGGAAGAAAGGUGAAGAAACAGUGCUGGAAAUCACUUCUGUGACUACCGGCGACGUCUCAGCAGGCAGAUGUUCGAUCUCAAAAGAAGGUUAUCAAGAUGGCGACCUCUCACUCCACAUUAGUUCAGUUAACCGGUCUGAUGCUGAAUUUUAUCGGUGCCUUAUUCACGAUGAAUCUCGUGAUGGAGACCCACGUGCUGUUCUACUAAAGGUGGAAGAACGCCGACCUGAGCACCAACCACCCCCAGCCUGCAACAGCAACACAGAAGCAGCAUUAGCAGUAAUACUAGCAGUAACACUAACACUGGUCAUCCUCGGAGUGAUUAUUUACUGUGUGAGAAGAUUCAAAGUAACUAAGAAUAAGGCAUCCACCGAUCCAGGGCCUCCUGUUCAAGAGGAAAACCAAAUGAUCCCAAAGCCUUCUUCAACACGGAGAUUCCAGGACUAGUUCAUAGUCAAAGAUCUGCCACACUGUUUUUUUUUUUUUUUUAAACUUUUCUUAUGAAGGGAAGCAAAAUUAGAUAUUAAGGGAUUAGAAAUCUUUAAAAACAUAGAAAUUCAGCAAAGCUGUAGGAAUGCCAUGGUGGUGUCUAGGGAUGUCACAAUACCAAAAAUCUAGUAGUCGGUACCAACACCACCAAAAGUACAUGAUACUCGAUACCAAAGUCGAUACCAUGGUGUGGUAUAAAAAUGAAAUUAAAAACUCUCCUGGAGGACAUCCUCCUCUGGCUGAUACUGGCAAAAAAAAAAAAAAAAAAGAGAGGGAGGGAUAUUAUAGUUAUCAAACACUGUCUGACAAUGAGUGGAGUGACUCCUAAACUCGUGCACGCAUGUACACACACACACACACACACACACACACACACACACACACAUCCUUAUACUGUGAAUGCAAGCAUUAGUUUAAAUUCACUGAUAUGCUGGCAGGCCAAAAAGAUUUAUUAAAAGCAUGAACACUAGAAUAAUUGUUAGUGACAUUAGGCUACAUUUUGCUGACAGGACACGGGCUGAAUGGCGAUGCAUGGAGGCCCAUUAGGAGGUAGUUUAUAACACUGCAAUGUGUUCGCGUCGUUAACAAAUAACUGGCUAUCGCAAACAUUACAUGGAGCAUAACGUUAGCUGGUUUAACGGCCACAAUGCCAGCUGCCUCAAACAAACAAACAAACAAACAAAUAAUAUACAACCUGUGUUUCAGGUGCUUCGCCAAAUUUCGCCAAAUAUAUGUUUGUUGUCAUCCGCCUCGAAUGCGGAGUAUUUCUAUAUUCCAGACCACCUUUCCUCUCAACGAGUCACGGUGGAGCUAAACUUCUGUAGUUUUUCCCGUGUGUUUGUAGUUGUUGUUCUUCACCAUUUGUGGACCGGCUAAAAGACGUGCGCUUAUUUGCUCCCCCCGGUCAGGUUUGGAAGAAUUGCAAACCGGUACUUUCAUUAGAAACGGUACCAACACUACUGCAGAAAAACAAGUUCAGUCACAUUUUAAGAAUGUUGGUACCGACUUGGUACCAGAGUAUCAGUUCUCGUGACAUCCCUAGUGGUGCCUAAUGGUGGUGUCUAAGCAUGGUGUAGUUAGUUCUCUUUGUUCUGGUGUGCCGAUAUUCCUGCUUUAUUUCAGUCAUUUUUGCAGUUCACAUGAAAGAAAUGUGAACUCGGACUUUGAAAGAGCCAGUUUUACAUGCACUAUGAACUGAGCCAUAUGGUUAUACCGUAAAUAAUCAUGAUGUAUAUUUAUACAUGCUGUAUGUACAGGUACAUCUUUUAAAAAAUUGAAUAUUGUGGAAAAGUUAUUUUUUACUGUAAUUUAAUUCAAAAAGUGGAACUUUUAUAUAUUCUAGAUUCAUUACACGAAGUGAAAUAUUUCAAGCCUUUUUUUUUGCUUUAAUCUUGAAGAUUACGGUUUACAGCUCAUGGAAAUCUUCAUUUUUCUUUAAUUUUUUUUCUGUAAUUGUUCUUUGUAGUUUCGACGUUUCGUAAAUUAUAGAGGUGUAUAAUUAACUUAUUCUUCAUUUCUGCUAAGAUUUGGGUAAAUGGGACAAUUUGGGUAAUUUAAUAAUUU
ensembl:lncRNA